rnacentral:lncRNA from 1 species
UUUUCAAAGAGGUCAUUCAAGCAUACUUGAAAUUGUGGUGGUUUACAAUUAUUUUCUUUGCACAUUUCUGUGACGACAUUGAUUAUCUUAGAUGCAACCAACAGUGUAUUUUUACCGGAAGAGCAUCCCAAAUCCGCAAUCUUGAAACAAGCACUGAAGAAUAAGUCAUGAUUAGUAAUACCUUUGAUUGUAUGCCUUAGGAUGGGUAGCGUUUUCCGUAUAACUAGAGCUCGCCUGAAGUAAGGAGUUACUAGCAUAGCUUGAUUCUCCGUUGCCAGGAUUCAUGUGUAGAAUAUUUGCCGUUCCCAUUACUAUUUUUCCUUAUCUUUGUU